GACGAACGCUGGCGGCGUGCUUAACACAUGCAAGUCGAACGGAAAGGCCCUGCUUUUGUGGGGUGCUCGAGUGGCGAACGGGUGAGUAACACGUGAGUAACCUGCCCUUGACUUUGGGAUAACUUCAGGAAACUGGGGCUAAUACCGGAUAGGAGCUCCUGCUGCAUGUUGGGGGUUGGAAAGUUUCGGCGGUUGGGGAUGGACUCGCGGCUUAUCCGCUUGUUGGUGGGGUAGGGGCUUACCAAGGCUUUGACGGGUAGCCGGCCUGAGAGGGUGACCGGCCACAUUGGGACUGAGAUACGGCCCAGACUCCUACGGGAGGCAGCAGUGGAGAAUAUUGCACAAUGGGCGGAAGCCUGAGGCAGCAACGCCGCGUGCGGGAUGACGGCCUUCGGGUUGUAAACCGCUUUCGCCGGUGACGAAGCGUGAGUGACGGUAAUGGGUAAAGAAGCACCGGCUAACUACGUG
rnacentral:rRNA from 1 species